rnacentral:rRNA from 1 species
AUUAACGCUGGCGGUGUGCAUAACACAUGCAAGUCGAGCGCGUGUACCUUGCAGCACAGAACUACUUACAUAUUAAGUGGCUCUGCGCUGUGAGUUGCAUGAGCGGCAAACGGGUGCGUAACACGUUGGAACCUACCCCAAAGUGGGGGAUAACUCCGCGAAAGCGGAGCUAAUACCCCAUAGUCUCGCAAGAGUAAACUUUUUUGGCUUUGGGAGGGGCCUGCGGCCUAUCAGCUAGUUGGCGGUUUAAUAGACCACCAAGGCUAUGACGGGUAGCUGGAUUGAGAGAUCGACCAGCCACAGGGGAACUGAGACACGGUCCCCACUCCUACGGGAGGCAGCAGUGAGGAAUCUUCCGCAAUGGGCGAAAGCCUGACGGAGCAACACCGCGUGAAGGAUGAAGUGGUUCGCCAUGUAAACUUCUUUUCUGAGGGAAGAAUUCUGACGGUACCUUAGGAAUAAGCACCGGCAAACUCUGU